UACAUUCGUAAACACACAGAGCAUAAAGAAAAGUGAUUAUGAAGAAAUAAUAGAAGUUAGACAUCAACCUCGCAAUUCUCAAAUGUCCCAUAGUCCCCAAUAUGAACGUGGCCACUUCACUAUUUCACUAUCAACAACACAAACCAAAUAUAUCAAUCGCUAUCUCGUGGUUGUGCCCACUUUUAACACCCAGCCCAACGCCACCGCAAUUAGCCGUUUUCUGCAACAAAA
rnacentral:misc_RNA from 1 species